AUCCCAUGAUGUGGACAUCAUUUAAGUAAUUCCUUAACUCCCUCCUAAGCUUCAUACAAGGAUUCACCAUUAACUUGUGUGAAUGAGGUUAUAUCAUUCCUCAUCUU
rnacentral:snoRNA from 1 species